GGCCGUCCAAGCAGCGAGCGUGGGGUGUAGUGAAAUGCGCACCCCGUGAAGCGUGAGCUGUGAUGGGGAGGGAAGGAAAGUACCGAAGUCCCGACGUUCACACUGCCGAGAAAAGCCUCUAGCGAGCCGAAGGUGCCCGUACCGGAAACCGACACAGGUGGGCGCGUGGAGAACACGAAGGCGCGCGGGAGAACUCUCGUUAAGGAACUCGGCAAAAUGGCCCCGUAACUUCGGGAGAAGGGGCGCUCUUCGGAAGAAGAGCCGCAGUGAAAAGGCCCAAGCGACUGUUUAGCAAAAACACAGGUCUCUGCGAAGCCGAAAGGCGAAGUAUAGGGGCUGACGCCUGCCCGGUGCUGGAAGGUUAAGAGGAGGGCUUAGGGGAUGACCCGAAGGUCCGAAUCGAAGCCCCAGUAAACGGCGGCCGUAACAAUAACGGUCCUAAGGUAGCGAAAUUCCUUGUCGGGUAAGUUCCGACCCGCACGAAAGGCGUAACGACUUGGGCGCUGUCUCAACGAGAGACCCGGUGAAAUUGUAGUACCUGUGAAGAUGCAGGUUACCCGCGGUUAGACGGAAAGACCCCGUGGAGCUUGACUGGAGCCU
rnacentral:rRNA from 1 species